AUGAAGUGUGACAUGCCCGUUUGGGAAUUACUCUGAUGCAUGUUUUAUUAAUUGAUUUUUGGGAAACGGGGUGUUACAAUUGG
rfam:Medicago truncatula strain A17 chromosome 3, whole genome shotgun sequence.